rnacentral:rRNA from 1 species
AUGAACACCUUCUUCGUUUUCGUCAUCACUCUCCUGCUCCUCCUAUUCACACUGGUAGUACAAGCCCUAAGGCGCAGGACUAACCAAAGCCAGCCGCAGCCGCCAGGGCCUCCCGCUCUCCCCAUCAUCGGCCACCUCUACCUCUUCAAGGGCCCCCUCCAUCGCCGCCUCACACGCCUCGCCACCCGCUAUGGCGCCGUCUUCCGCCUGCGGUUCGGCACCAAGAACGUCGUCGUCGUGUCCUCCGCCCAAGCCGCCGAGGAGUGUCUCGGCGUGCACGACAUCGUGUUUGCCAACCGGCCGCAGCUGCCGACGGGCAAGAUCCUCUCCUACGACUGGAGCACCAUGGGCACCGCCAGCUACGGGGACUACUGGCGCCACAUCCGCCGCAUCGGCGCCACUGAGCUCCUAUCGGCGCACCGGGUGCAGCAGUACGCCGACGUCCACACACGGAUGGCGCGGUCCAUGGCGCGGCGCCUCUACCGCUCGGCUGCCGGUGGUCGCGCGCGGGUUGAGCUCAAGUCACGGCUCUUCGAGAUGCUCAUGAACGUAAUGACGAGCAUGAUUUGCGCGAGGACAUCCUAUGGGACCGAUGGCGAGGAGAUAUUGGAGGUGACAGAAGAGGUCCAGUGGUUUCGGACGAUGAUGGAGGAGACGAUGACACUAAUUGGUGCAUCGACGGUGUGGGACUACAUACUAACACUGGUGCGAUGGCUGGACAUCGGCGGGUUCGGGAGACGGUUGUGGCGGCUACGAGAGAGUAGAACAAAGUUCGUGCAGGGACUUAUCCAGGAUGAGAGAAAUAAGAUGGAGGAGGGCACGACAACAGGGAGGACGAUGAUUGGGGCACUGUUGGCCCUACAACACAAGGACCCAGAGGAUUGCCCAGACCAGCUUAUCCGAGCUUUGUGCAUCAGCGCCCUCGAAGCUGGAUCAUCUACUUCUGCAGAUACAGUUGAGUGGGCAAUGUCCCUCAUGCUGAAUAACCCUAAGGUGAUGGUCAAAGUUCGUGAUGAGAUUGAUUCCUACAUAGGGAAACCAAUACGCCUAAUCGAGGCAGCCGAUCUCCUAAAGUUACAAUACCUUCGUUGCAUAAUCAUGCAGACGCUUCGUCUGCAUCCACCAACACCACUUCUUGUUCCUCAUGAAUCUUCUAUUGACUGCAUCGUCGGUGGAUUUUAUAUUCCCAAGGGGACAAUGCUUCUUGUCAACACAUCUGCAAUACACAGGGAUCCCAAGAUAUGGGAUAAACCAACAAACUUUAUUCCAUAA